AUACCAUGAUGGGGAAAAUUCCUCAAUAGCUCCUUGAAACGUUCCCAUGCAUCAUAUAAUGACUGCCCAUCAAUCUGACAUAAGCUAUUAAUUUCUCCCCUCAAUUU